GAUGAACGCUGGCGGCGUGCCUAAUACAUGCAAGUCGAGCGAACAGACGAGGAGCUUGCUCCUCUGACGUUAGCGGCGGACGGGUGAGUAACACGUGGAUAACCUACCUAUAAGACUGGGAUAACUUCGGGAAACCGGAGCUAAUACCGGAUAAUAUAUUGAACCGCAUGGUUCAAUAGUGAAAGACGGUUUUGCUGUCACUUAUAGAUGGAUCCGCGCCGCAUUAGCUAGUUGGUAAGGUAACGGCUUACCAAGGCAACGAUGCGUAGCCGACCUGAGAGGGUGAUCGGCCACACUGGAACUGAGACACGGUCCAGACUCCUACGGGAGGCAGCAGUAGGGAAUCUUCCGCAAUGGGCGAAAGCCUGACGGAGCAACGCCGCGUGAGUGAUGAAGGUCUACGGAUUGUAAAACUCUGUUAUUAGGGAAGAACAAAUGUGUAAGUAACUAUGCACGUCUUGACGGUACCUAAUCAGAAAGCCACGGCUAACUACGUG
rnacentral:rRNA from 1 species